rnacentral:rRNA from 1 species
AGAGUUUGAUCCUGGCUCAGAACAAACGCUGGCGGCGUGCCUAACACAUGCAAGUCGUACGAGAAAGGGUCCUUCGGGACCUGAGUAAAGUGGCGCACGGGUGAGUAACGCGUGGUUAAUCUACCCCUGGGUUUGGGAUAACGCGCCGAAAGGUGCGCUAAUACCGAAUAAGACCACGAUGUCUGCGGACAUUGCGGUCAAAGAGGGCCUCUACAUGUAAGCUCUUGCCUAGAGACGAGACCGCGUCCCAUUAGCUAGUUGGUGAGGUAACGGCUCACCAAGGCCGCGAUGGGUAGCUGAUCUGAGAAGAUGAUCAGCCACACUGGGACUGGAACACGGCCCAGACUCCUACGGGAGGCAGCAGUGAGGAAUCUUGCGCAAUGGGGGAAACCCUGACGCAGCCACGCCGCGUGGGUGAAGAAGGCCUUCGGGUCGUAAAGCCCUGUCAGGUGGGAAGAACCGCAAGUGGACGAAUAAUCCGCUUGCCUGACGGUACCACCGAAGGAAGCACCGGCUAACUCCGUGCCAGCAGCCGCGGUAAUACGGAGGGUGCAAGCGUUGUUCGGAAUUACUGGGCGUAAAGCGCGUGUAGGCGGACCUAUAAGUCAGAUGUGAAAGCCCUGGGCUCAACCCAGGAAGUGCAUCUGAUACUGUAGGCCUUGAGUCCCGGAGAGGGUUGUGGAAUUCCCGGUGUAGAGGUGAAAUUCGUAGAUAUCGGGAGGAACACCAGUGGCGAAGGCGACAACCUGGACGAGGACUGACGCUGAGACGCGAAAGCGUGGGGAGCAAACAGGAUUAGAUACCCUGGUAGUCC